rnacentral:lncRNA from 1 species
CGCGGAGCCAAUCGGAACUCGCGGCGGGGUUGCUGGGUCUUCCAGGAUCGCGCAUUAGCGGACGCUGGCUACGGGUGGCCGGGCGGGAUGUAACCGGCUGCUGAGCUGGCAGUUCUGUGUCCCCAGGCUUCGGCCCGGCCGCCGCCGCACAUAAACUGCGAGGAGGAGCUUUACGACUUCUCGGUCUUCGGGGCCGGGCGCAGCAAGGGCCAGACUCUGCGCUAGCAGGCGCUGCGCGCCAACCGGCCGGCCCCUGUCGCAGAAGGUGCAACCGAUCGCACUGUCGCGCAGAAGCUCCUCAAUGGCCAGCGCCAGCUGCAGCCCCGGCUGCCCACUCGCCUCACCUGAGCCUGGGUGGAACAAUCCAAAGUUUUAAUCAAAGAAGGUGGUAUUCAGUUGCUGCUUACAAUAGUUGAUACCCCAGGAUUUGGAGAUGCAGUGGAUAAUAGUAAUUGCUGGCAGCCUGUUAUCAAUUACAUUGAUAGUAAAUUUGAGGACUACCUAAAUGCAGAAUCGCAAGUGAACAGAUGUCAGAUGCCUGGUAACAGGGUGCACUGUUGUUUAUACUUCAUUGCUCCUUCAGGACAUGGACCGUUACAUAACUGAAGACUCCCACCUUCAGGCAGGAUUGGGUAGUACAUGUUUGUAACUACCUGGCAUUGCCUUUUGUUGAGACUUAAACCAUUGGAUAUUGAGUUUACAAAGCAUUUGCAUGAAAAAGUGAAUAUCAUCCCACUUAUUGCCAAAGCAGACACACUCAUGCCAGAGGAAUGCCAACAGUUUAAAAAACAGAUAAAGAAAUCCAAGAACAUAAAGUUAAAAUAUAUGAAUUUCCAGAAACAGAUGAUGAAGAAGAAAAAAAACUUGUUAAAAAGAUAAAGGACCAUUUACCUCUUGCUGUGGUGGGUAGUAAUACUAUCAUUGAAGUUAAUGGCAAAAGGGUCAUAGGAAGGCAGUAUCCUUGGAGUGUUGCUGAAGUUGAAAAUGGUGAACAUUGUGAUUUUACAGUUUUAAGAAAUAUGUUGAUAAGAACACACGCAGGACUUGAAAGAUGUUACUAAUAAUGUCCACUACGAGAACUAUGGAAUCAGAAAACUGGCAGCUGUGACUUAUCAUGGAGUUGAUAACAAGAAGAAUAAAGGGCAGCUCACUAAGAGCCCUCUGGCACAAAUGGAAGAAGAAAGAAGGGAGCAAGUAGCUAAAAUUAAGAAGAUGGAGAUGGAGAUGGAGCAGGUGUUUGAGAUGAAGGUCAAAGAAAAAGUUCAAAAACUGAAGGACUCUGAAGCUGAGUCUGCAGAUGUGGAUCCUGACUCCUGAGAGAAGUAGCUCACCGUGACGAAGCUGCGUUUGCUUUUAUCGAUUUGCAAAUCAAAGAAGGGGGACAUAUUGGGAGAAGGCCCCCCAAAAUCUGGCCAUAAACUGGCCACAAAACUGGCCAUAAAAUCUCUGCAGCACUGUGACAUGCUCAUGAUGGCCAUAACGCCCACGCUGGAAGGUUUUGGGUUUACCGGAAUGAAGGCAAGGAACACCUGGCCUGCCCAGGGCAGAAAACCACUUAAAGGCAUUCUUAAACCACAAACAGUAGCAUGAGCGAUCUGUGCCUUAAGGGCAUGUUCCUGCUGCAGAUAACUAGCCAGACCCACCCCUUUAUUUCAGGCCAUCCCUUCAUUUCCCAUAAGGGAUACUUUUAGUUAAUUGAAUAUCUAUAGAAACAAUGCUAAUGACUGGUUUGCUGUUAAUAAAUAAGUGGGUAAAUCUCUGUUCGGGGCUCUCAGCUCUGAAGGCUGUGAGACCCCUGAUUUCCCACUUUACACCUCUAUAUUUCUGUGUGUGUGUCUUUAAUUCCUCUAGCACCACUGGGUUAGGGUCUCCCCAACUGAGCUGGUCUCGGCACUUCUCUUUGCCUUAAAAACAGGUACAGCGGACCUUCCUGGCAUCAGAAAAAGGCCUCCAGAAAAAGAGACACAGGAACUGAUUUCAUCUGAAAUUGAAGAGACAAUCAGAGAAAAACUAUAGACCACUCAUGAUGGUUGUUAUAUGUGCUUGGCUGGGCCAUGGGUCCCAGUGUUUGGUGAAACACAGCAGCAGAUGUCCCUGUGAGUAGAUGUUGCUUUGAAGGUAUCUUUUAGAUGUGAUGAACAUUUGUCAUCAGUAGACUUUGAGUAAGGCAGAUAGCCCGUCACAAUGUGGAUGGGCCUUAUCCAAUUAGUUGAAGGCCUUUGAAAAAAGACUGAGAUCCC